rnacentral:rRNA from 1 species
GCAUAUCAAUAAGCGGAGGAAAAGAAACCAACAGGGAUUGCCCCAGUAACGGCGAGUGAAGCGGCAACAGCUCAAAUUUGAAAUCUGGCUUCGGCCCGAGUUGUAAUUUGCAGAGGAAGCUUUAGGCGCGGCACCAUCUGAGUCCCCUGGAACGGGGCGCCACAGAGGGUGAGAGCCCCGUAUAGAUGGACGCCUAGCCUGUGUAAAGCUCCUUCGACGAGUCGAGUAGUUUGGGAAUGCUGCUCUAAAUGGGAGGUAAAUUUCUUCUAAAGCUAAAUACCGGCCAGAGACCGAUAGCGCACAAGUAGAGUGAUCGAAAGAUGAAAAGCACUUUGAAAAGAGGGUUAAAUAGCACGUGAAAUUGUUGAAAGGGAAGCGCUUGUGACCAGACUUGCGCCGGGCGGAUCAUCCGGUGUUCUCACCGGUGCACUCCGCCCGGCUCAGGCCAGCAUCGGUUCUCGUGGGGGGACAAAGGUUCCGGGAACGUAGCUCCUCCGGGAGUGUUAUAGCCCGGGGCGUAAUGCCCUCGCGGGGACCGAGGACCGCGCUUCGGCAAGGAUGCUGGCGUAAUGGUCAUCAGCGACCCGUCUUGAAACACGGACCAAGGAGUCAAGGUUUUGCGCGAGUGUUUGGGUGUAAAACCCGCACGCGUAAUGAAAGUGAACGUAGGUGAGAGCUUCGGCGCAUCAUCGACCGAUCCUGAUGUUUUCGGAUGGAUUUGAGUAGGAGCGUUAAGCCUUGGACCCGAAAGAUGGUGAACUAUGCUUGGAUAGGGUGAAGCCAGAGGAAACUCUGGUGGAGGCUCGCAGCGGUUCUGACGUGCAAAUCGAUCGUCAAAUCUGAGCAUGGGGGCGAAAGACUAAUCGAACCAUCUAGUAGCUGGUUACCGC